rnacentral:rRNA from 1 species
GUGGGGAAUCUUAGACAAUGGGGGAAACCCUGAUCUAGCCAUGCCGCGUGAGCGAUGAAGGCCUUAGGGUUGUAAAGCUCUUUCAGCUGGGAAGAUAAUGACGGUACCAGCAGAAGAAGCCCCGGCUAACUCCGUGCCAGCAGCCGCGGUAAUACGGAGGGGGCUAGCGUUGUUCGGAAUUACUGGGCGUAAAGCGCGCGUAGGCGGACCAGAAAGUUGGAGGUGAAAUCCCAGGGCUCAACCUUGGAACUGCCUUCAAAACUCCUGGUCUGGAGUUCGAGAGAGGUGAGUGGAAUUCCGAGUGUAGAGGUGAAAUUCGUAGAUAUUCGGAGGAACACCAGUGGCGAAGGCGGCUUACUGGACUGUAACUGACGCUGAGGCGCGAAAGUGUGGGGAGCAAACAGGAUUAGAAACCCCAGUAGUCC